rnacentral:rRNA from 1 species
UACAGAGGUCUCGAGCGUUGUUCGGAUUCAUUGGGCGUAAAGGGUGCGUAGGCGGCGGGGCAAGUCUGAUGUGAAAUCCCGGGGCUCAACCCCGGAACUGCAUUGGAUACUGCCUUGCUAGAGUACUGGAGAGGAGACUGGAAUUUACGGUGUAGCAGUGAAAUGCGUAGAGAUCGUAAGGAAGACCAAUGGCGAAGGCAAGUCUCCUGGACAGUGACUGACGCUGAGGCACGAAGGCCAGGGGAGCAAACGGG